rnacentral:misc_RNA from 1 species
GAAAUGCGAUAAGUAAUGUGAAUUGCAGAAUUCAGUGAAUCAUCGAAUCUUUGAACGCACAUUGCGCCCGCCAGCACUCUGGCGGGCAUGCCUGUUCGAGCGUCAUUUCAACCCUCAGAACCCCUUGCGGGAUCUGGCGUUGGGGAUUGGCAUCCAGCCAGCCCCGAAAUCUAGUGGCGGUCCCUCCGCGACCUCCCCUGUGCAGUAGCGAUACCUCGCAGCGGGACAGCGGUCUGACCACGCCGUAAAACCCCCAACUUCUCAAGGUUGACCUCGAAUCAGGUAGGAAUACCCGAUGAACUUAAGC